UGCUGCCUCUAAAAGCAGCAUUUUAUUACCCCUGUAUCAGAAUGAGAGCAUGGCCAUGUCAGAGCUCAGCUGAUCUCUCACAGCUUUUCCACUCAGCAGAGCUGAUUUUGAGAACUCUGCAAGUGUUUCUCAGGCACAUCUGUAAUUUGCAGUGAAGCCUUGUAUGAAGAAACUUGAAGAAAGGCUGCCCUGAGAUGAUAAAUCAGGGCCAGAAAUCUGAGAUAAUUGUAGGAUCUAGGACCCACUGGGAUCAGCUCUUAUUUCAGUAGAAUGUGCUCCUUACAUGGACCUGAUUCUGCAGAUGCAGAGGGUGGAAAAGAGCCCAGAAAUUAGUCACAGACACCAAUGUUUUCUUACUGCAGACAGAGAAUUUCCACAGCAGGCAGGUGACUAAUUGGAGUUUCACAGGUGAAGGUAGUGCAUGCAGGAAAGCCUUGUCUGCUCACAGAGUACAAGUACAGCAUCCUCAUCCUCGUGGUGAGGCUCCCACCAGUGCAGGGGAUGCUACAGAAGAGCUCUAUUUCAGAGGGGUUAUAGCUGGGCGCUGCAGCUUUCAGGUGGCAAAGCCGGCAGCUCUGGAGGCAGAGUCUGCAGGCUGGAAAAACACUCACCUGCCUUCUGGCCAAGCAGGCAGCUCCUAAAGCCACCCAGGCUCCUGCUGCUGCUCACUGGUGAGAAGGAAAAAGCUGGGAUGCUGCCCUUAGAGGCAGACAGCAGGAAAAGUGGUGUCAGUGGAUGGGAUAACUGUGACCUCUGAAAUGACAAGACUGGUGAUAAAUAAAAUUUAACAAUUUUCUUCAAAUAUAAAUAGAUUUUAAAAAUAUGCAUACAUCUAUCUAUACAAAGAAAAAUAAAUACAUUGAUAACUUCUGUCAUGGAAAAAAAUUCUUUAGACUCAAAUGCUUUAGUCAUUUUUAGUAGAUUUUUUGUUGCUUGAAGUGGCAACUGUUGUUGGCCCAGGGUAGUCUGGGAAGGUCAUUGUACGUCGUGCAAAGAAAGGCUAGGCACAGCACCCUUUAAUUUACAUGGACAAGCUUGGUUGAAUCACUGGGGAAGCCAUGAGUGAUCUAUUCACAACCAGGGACUUUUAAUAUAUUAUGCUCUUCAUAUAUAUUACGAAUGUGUGUGGCCCUCUAAUUACCAUCCAAUCAUCAGAGCAUCAAAGUGUCUUACUUUGUUUACAGUCCUGAAAAACCAGAGUCAGGUUUUAUGAGCCUGACAAUAUAUCCUCUUUUUUUGUUUAUAUUAUGUGAUUUAUUUUUAAUCAUAUAAGAAGAAACUUUCUACAUAAUCAUUGCAAUAAACCUUUUGUGAGUCUUUUAGAAAAUUAUUUUGUACUUGCACUGCUU